rnacentral:lncRNA from 1 species
GAUAAAUGUGCAUUUAUGGAAAAGGAACAUUUGUUCUCAAGAUUGCAUUUGCUAGAAGCGAGUUGGAUGUAUUCAGUUUUAUCUUUUUGUGUUGAUGGUGGCUAAAAACGUGAGAUCUUCCUUCACUGACAAGUUUAAGAGAAACAACAGGAGGUUCAAAUAUCCAUGGAGAUUUUUCCUCUGAGACUCUGAUGGUUACCUGAAUCCUUGAAGACACUUUCUUAUAACUAUUUUAUUUUGACAAAUGUGAAAAUGGGUGAAAGAAGACUUAAUGGAUUAAGGAAGAUAAUUCCGAGUGUAUCAUGGGACAGCACAUUGGUCAGCCCAGGGCAACAAAAGGAAGGAUAAAUGUUUUAAGAGCAGUGGCUGAAAGUCUUGGAAUCAAGCUGAUAACUCAAAAAGCAAAAUCCAUCUUCAGCCCUCCCAAGGAGACUGGAAGAGGAGUGGUGAUGGAAAAUACCGCUGAUGUACGUGGGGGAGAGGAAGAGAUGCAGUGAAAGGAUUAACAAACAGAUCUGCAACGUUAUUGCAUUGCUCAAGAUGUGGUGACAUAUUUAAGAUGCAUUUCUAGCAAAAAAUAAAAAAAAGAAAAAUUGUAGGCCA